rnacentral:lncRNA from 1 species
UCAGGCAGCACUGCUCCGUGCACCGUCCCACCCACCAAUGCACAAAGGAAAAAUAAUGCUUUUGCAGCAUUGCCAAAUGGCCACCAGAGGAUUUAAUUUGUCAAUAAGCUGCACGAAUGCCCAGGCCACCUCCAUCUGCUGCUGUGACAGAACACAAUUAACAGGAAAAUCCCAGUUCAAUCUUUGGAGACUUAAAGUGCUCACUCAAAUGCACUGAACAAGAGGAAUGCUUCAGCUCCAAUCAGCUCCUGUCUUCUUUGGAAAUGCUGGCCCUGAGGCACUAUGCAAUAACCUGUGAUCAGGAUCCCAGUUAUGUGCUGGAUAGGCAGCUGAAGAAGCUCCUAGACCUGUCUUUCUAAGAUUUGGACAGAGCCUAUAGAUAAGGUGAGAGUGGUCUGUGUGUAAAUGUCCACAUGAGUGCAGUCCUUGUGGCGUGGGUUUGUGGCCUGAAAACAAACGGCUGUGGUGGUGUCCUGAAUGUGGACCUGAAAGGGGGAUGGGCUGUAGGAAGUGUGCCUGCUGACAUCCCCCUACUGCUGUGUUAUGGUGACAUGAAGUUCUAGGUUUUGUUGAAGCAUCUCUUGCCUACAGACUGGAGUGAUUGCUGGAACUAUCUGGGAAAUAAUUCUCAGUUGUUGUUGUUAUAGAUGUUGGACUUUCCUGAGCAGAUGUCUCCCAUUGAAUCCCUGCCCUGCCCAGGACUUCAGGUGUUGCUGGCACAUAAUUGCAUUAUGCUAAUGGGAGAUACUGCACUGUUGCUGGUGCACCUGUGAUGUGGUGCAGGGCCUAUGGGGUGCAAGGGGCUCAGCUGGGGCAAACUUAAGUCUGUGAAAUGGAGAUGUAGGAGAAAAUUGACUGCAACAAGAAGCUGAGUUGUGGCUGUGUUGGCCUUUGUGCUGUCACUGGCUGGUGAGCAGGUGCUCACAGUGAGGCUGGCUGCAAGGUGGGCGAAGGCUUGGGAAGGCCUCCUUUAUCACCAGAGAAGUAUGGGACCCAGCUGGGGAGCCUGAGGGCCCCAGAGUGGGCUUUGGGAUGCCGUGGUGUUUAUGUGAGACCUGUAGGGGUACACUAAAUGGAGCAGGAGAUGUGGAAUCUAAGCAGGAGGGGACUUUAGGUUGCUUAAUUUGUUUAACAGAAAUCUCAAGGAGAAACAGCUAUAAGCUGAAACGCUUCACUCGUAAGUCAGUGCAAUUCAGUUCUUGUUUGGAAAAAAAAACCUUCAACCCAUCAAAAGAAAGAGCUCAAAUUCCUUGAGAGCCAGCUACACAAGGCUGUCUUUCCAUAGGGCUUCCUGGCAGAUGGAAUCCAUUGCCUUCUUUGUCCUGUCGAAAGAGAUACCUGCUCUUCAUACACCUGUUUCUGGCACAAUUCCUCCUAAAGGCAUUUGAAUCUGUGUGCAAGCUGAAUGGUGGUGGCUAAAGUAUUCCAUGUGUUCCUUGUUAGGAGAAUGUGGGACUGGGUGUCCCUGGAGGUAAUUUCGUCCCUUGUGCUGAGAAGUGUGCUGCUUCUCCCCCAGGGCUGAGCACCUGCAUUAAUGUGUCCCUGCUUGGUGCUCCAUGCACUCCGGUUGGGAUGGCAGGGAAGGAUGGAACUGCAAGGGAUGGGGGGCAGGGAAUAUAUUCUCUACCAGCAGAUAGUUUUGGAUACUUGUAUAUAUAUUGUGAACUUCCCCUCCUACUCCUGUUUCUUCCUAAACCUUGAGAUUUGAGCAUAAUGUUUUUAUAUGGCUUCAGAAAUCAAUCUGUUUGGUAACUUGACUGAGAAUAAGUAAUGCAGCUACAUACUUCUAAGUCGUUAUGUGUGCACGAUCUGUUUGUACGAUAUGCUUCAGUCUUCCUAACAUCUGGUUCUAGCCAGUUGCUAUCAGCCCCUUGGUUUUAUAAGCACUAAAUUCACUCAGUUUUUAAUGCAGGGGGGAAAAAAGUACAGCCCAAAGAGCAUAACAUUUACAAGCUUUUUUUGUGGGAGUGGAGACAGGAGGCCAAGUUCUGCUCUCAGACAGAGUCCAGCCUUUGCAUUUUUGGGUGGGCCUCUGAAACUUUUUUUUGCCUUGAGAUGCCUCCUUUUCAGCCAAACCAAACUGAUUCCUGUCAACUAUUAUCACCCCGGUAUGAAUGGGUUUGGCACAGAGACUUGAGGGAGGGUCAGCAAGAUGGCUUUUUGGGAUGCUCAUCAAGUAAUAACUGCUACACGUAGUGUGUGUGUGUGUGUGCCUUAACUUCUGGGAGAGGGCAGAGUGAGAUCCUGUGGUUUCUUGUAACCUUGCCUGCCUCUUCUUGCACCUGAUGUGCAUUGGGUACGGUGCUGAGUGGAGAUGACACAGUUUCCACCCAUUGGGUUGUGCUUGGGCAGGCUGCAGCAUCCCUGGGCACCUCCCCGUGUGGCUUUUCCAGUGUUGCUUUGAUCAUGGAAGAAAAGGACUGAGUUGUUCUCAGGAUCAGCAGAGACAACUGCUGGAUUUUCAUUAAGCACAUAUGAUAGUAUAUGAUCCAAAAAUCAGAAGGCAACCCUACAAGUUCAUUGAAAUCUUUCCAUAAGAAAACCAAGCAUUAACAAACCUGCUGCUGCCAAGCCAGUUGCUGACACAGAUAAAAAGCAAACCUAUCUAUAACCCAAAUCCAUGUUAUCCACAUGCAACUUACAAGAAUGCUGAACAGCUGUUGGCUUGCUAUUGAAGCAAAAUUACCUUUUAAUUUGUGUUAUUGUUUUUGCUUUCAUCCAAGUUUGGUGUUCACCCUCUCCUGAGUCAAAGCUCUGAGUGAGACUUGAAGGGAUGAGAACUGUCCUUAAAUGGUUUGAAUAACUGUCCUGAAGAAAUUGAAUUAGAUCUUUAAAACUUUAGCACUGCUAGUUCUAAUACAAAUAUCAACUACCAGUGGUUUUAUUUGCUUGGCAACUGGAAGGGGAGAGAGGGAGAUAGCAAACCAGAAAUUGCUCAUACUUAAAGUCACUGAAAGGCUGCAAUUCACAUAUGGAUGAAAUUUGGCUCUGGAAUAACAUAAUGUAGUUGUAAGUGGAAUAAAUCUGGUCUACUAAUUCUUUUCUGCCUGUUUUGUUUUAAAAGACAAACUGCCUUCAUUUCACAUGUGCACAUAAAACAUGGGUAGCUGAAGCAGGUAACAGUUUAAGUCUCUGAGAAGAACUUGCUGGGUACUUUUGGCAGGGCCUUGCAUUCUGGAGAGUAUCAGAGUGAACACACACGUCCCAUUGUAGCAGUCCUGCCUGUCUGCUCCUGAGCUGGGACUGCUAAUGGUGUGGCACUAAUUCAGAUGUUGCAGAAUUGCAUAUAGGUUUCCACAGUUAUUUUUCUGUUGUUAGCAAACACUCGAAGUAAGGCUGUGCUGUGGUCAUACAGACAGGAAAAUGACAUCAUGCUGAAAACCACUAAUGCAGAAACUUUGGAAUCUGAAAGGCAAACUGUAUUCUAAUUAAGAAGAAAAAAAACAAUGACAUUUGAAAUGGAGAAAUUUCUUGGAUGAUUCUUAUUUUCAAAUCCUCCCCUGGCUUCCCUUUCAGCCAAAGCUGUGACAAGUGCAUUGGAGCUGAUAAUAAACAUAUAACUCUGAGGUCAUUGCUGGGUUUUUAAAUUAAAAUAAUUAAAUAAACAUGGAUUAAAUUUCCCACCUCCAGGAAUGCACUGCUUGGGAAUGGGCAGCUUGAACUGCUCCAUGGAGUCACUCUAAAGUGCUUUUUCCUGUAUAACAUGGCUACUUUUUUCUGUUAUCUGAAAUCACAAAACAGCCUUAUUCUGUACUCCUCCUCCCUGCAGGGCUGGUGGGUGGCAGUGAUGGACUUUGCGAUGGUGGCACUUUGUAGGGAUUAUUCACUGCAUAGGGGAAAAAAAAACCCACAGAAUUAGUCCCAACAUCCACAUUGUUGGAGAAGGCUGGCAGAUGUGACCAGCUCAUCCUGCUGUGGAUUAUUGGAGCUGGCUGGAGAAAUACUGAAUAAGCCAUAUUGCCCUGAUGUCAGGUUCUGUGUGUAUCGGUGCUGCUGCACCUUCUGGAAGCAAAGCAGCUUGAUUGGAAGUAAAACAGGCUGGAGGAAUUCCAACAGUGUUAAAACUGACUUAUUGGGGCACAAAAGAAAAUACUGUUUCUGAAAUGACUUCUCUCUUCAAUUUCUUAGCGUUUUGUUUCAGAUAUUCUGAAUGGAAAUUGAUUGUAACUGAAGUAUUUUAAUUCAGAAAAGCUGCUAUUGUUUUUUUUUCCCUACAAACUUCUUCAGCAUUUGAAUUCUGGGGGAAGUGGAGGGUGUUGGUGUUUACAAGGAAGCAACAUGUUGAACUCAGAAUGUGAAGUUCCGGGAGAAACGUGCUUUCCAUCCUUGAGCCAGAUCAACUCAUUUCCCACUUGAGACAAAGUUGUACACAUGCACCAAAGCCUCCAUCGUCCCACCUCCCUCAGGCGGUGUACCCUUAAUUCCCAAAGAGGCACUGCAGAAGCUGGUGCCUACAGAGACACUUGAACCGAUGCUGCAUGUCAUCCCCACUCAGGAAAUUCUGUUUGAGUGGCCCGCUGUUUUUGCGUGAUCAGUUACAUUGAAAGUUAGGCAAAUGGGCUCUCCAUCUCCAUCCUCUGCCCCUGCUCACUUUACCACUAUCCCCAUCUGGGAAAAAAUAUAAUGAGAAUAGUUGCAAGGAAUCACCUACUUUUGUGCACCUGCCAGCAGGGUGGAUUAACUGUCUGGUUAUUUUAGGAACAGAAUAAAUCCUGACAUAUUUUGAAAAUGCAUCCUCACUUGCUCCUGAAUUUCUGUUCUGCUUGGUUUCAUCUCAGUCAUUGCUAGUUUUCUAAAAGUGCCACUAUUCAUAUUGAAUUUGCACCUUGCAAGCACCUGCAGGCUUAUUGCUUGGCAUGGACUGUUCCUUAGUGAUUUGAUUUUUCUUUUUCUUUUGUGUUUUGUUUUAUAACGUUUCAUGGUGUAGACAGCAACUUUGCAGGUCCUGAGCCAGGCUACUAAUUGGUUUCAUAUCCCUUUGAGUGUGGAGUCUUUGCUGGUUCUUAUUUCUUUUUCCCAUAGAAAUGAAAGCAAGAAGCAGCUCGAUAAUGCGAUAGUGCCAUUCAUUACUCCUAUGACUGAAAGGAUUCUGCUUCCUUGCAGACCACUGAGGUCAUUUCCUCACUGAAAGCUGAGUGAGGGCAGAUCGCAUGAGGUUGUCUGGCCUGGCUGUUCCAUGCAGCAGAGAAAGGCUCUUCCAGUGAAAGUGGGAGCAAGACUGGGCCUGGAGUGGAAUAGUGAAUGUGUGGAUGGAUUUGAAGUCCAAUGCAGGAACUUCAGCUGUGCCACUCUAGGAAAACAGAUCCUUAGAGGAACAGGCUGUGUGCGGAGCGUAUGGCAUCUGUAGUGCAAUGGGCAGGCCUGCUUCCUACUGCUGUUCUUUUCCAGCUGCUGUACAGCAGUCACUGCAUGUAACAGUGUUCCCCGUCCAAUGAUCUUUAACCCCUGUGAGGAGACAUGAUAGUAAAGGAGAAUCCUGGCCAUUCUUACAUAUUUAUCUUUUAGUAAGUUGUUGGUGACCUUAUGUAUCGUGCAUUACAGCACUUCAUUCUGACUGCUAGAGGGCGAGAUGUUAAGGGACCUGAUCCAAUGCCAGCUGAAGUUUAUGGGAAUCUUUCAGUGGAUGUUCAUCUGCUUUGAAUCAAAAUGGUCAGCGUAGUAUUUCUUCUGUGCUUUUGCAGUAUGUGGGGUAAAUUAUUGAAGGCCCUUGGCUGCAACGUGGGGAAAGGCUUUAACAGCACUGCCUGGAUUCAGGGCAGACUCAUACCUGUUCCAAACAGCACUUCAGCACUGAGUUGAGUUCGGUCUCUGUACCUCCAGAUGAACAAAAUGUCACUGCCCCGUGCUUGCUGCUCAAUCAGUCUUAACUAAGUUCUAACCUUGUCUCAAACAGACUUCUGCAUUUAUAAAUUACAAUUAAGUGAUGAGAUUAUGUAUAGCUGCAUGUUCAUUUUACUAUAGUUUUGGAAACUAGACGUGUCCUGAUGAUGUUAAGUCCCCACGUUUGACUUGCAUGGAAGGUAGGCUUUCAUAGAGACUAUUUAAGAAAAUGGAUUUUAGGAUUUUAUCACUAGUUUUAUCACUAGUUUACUUUUGCCAUCUGAUAAUGACAGCGGUGCUUCGUUAUGGGGAACAAAAGUCAGAGGAAAAAAGCAUCCUUGUAAUAGUGUAUGCUGUUCAUCACAGUACUUAAGAUACACACGAACAACAGUAAAACAACUCUAGGUGAAGGGCCAGUGAGUGAGAACACUAGGCUUCAUUCUUCUUCCUUCAGAAUAAAUUCCCUUCUGUCUGCAACCAUCUCAUUUGUACAAAAAGUCCUUUGUUAGUCAUUUCUCAUUAGAGCUAUUGAUAAGGCUUGUCCAAAAACAUGCCAGAGUGCUUUUGUAAGUUAGAUAUUUUACAUCAAGUACCAACAGCUAGUAAUCAUACAGUGAGUCUCUCUUAAAAACUUCUGCACUCUUGCAUUUUUAUUUAGUUAACAUUGCCAUGAUACUUACAGCAAGGGAAUAGCAUGAAUACUUCAGCGUGGUGUUUAUUCAGAAAAGCAACUGAGAACGCUUUAACUGUUAGGAAGAAAACUUUAAUUAGUGUGAUUUCAAAUACUGCUACUUUUACAAGAUGGGUGUCAGGUACUACAGGGGCAUUUGUUUCAAUGAAAGUAUUAUUAAAGAUUGGAGCAGCUUUUUUUUUUUUCCUGUGUGGUCAGGGAGGAAGAUAUAUGGAGUGAAUAGUAUUUUGUCACGUUUAUCCAGCUUUAAGCCUAUGAGGGUGUUAGCAGUUCAUUUAUAUAAAGACUGCUCUGAAAGUAAUGCUUUCUACUUUAUUGUGUUGGGACACGAUAUCAGAGAUGGAUGUUGGUGCUGUGGUAGUAGAGGGUGAACCUUCCCACCAAUAUCCCGUUACAUGUUGUUGCUGUGUGACAGAUGGCAGCAGAGGGGCAGUCUGGCACAAUGGUGUCUGAUAUGGAAGUGUGUAUGAAGCAAAGGUGUGGCAUUGAAUUCCUCUGUGCAGAAUAAGUGGCAUCCACCGACAGUCAUUGAUGCUUGCUGAACAGCUGUAGAGACCAAACAGUGAAAGUUAGAACAAGGAGGCUGUGAGUGAUGUGUUUCAAUAGUGGCAACAGCGCAGAUGUUUAUAAGCAUGACACGCAGGCUCUUGUUCAUUGCUGGCAAAAAUGCAUAUCUAAUUGUGGUGACCAUAUUGAAAAGUAGUGUUUCAUAGCUGAGAAUUUGCUGUGUCAAAUAGUCUUACUGCACUCUGUAUCUGUUGUCAUUUCCAUGGAAAUAAAUAGGAGGCAUUACUUUCAGAGCAACCUACUUAUAUGCAAAGUAGCUUCCCUCUGUCUGAUCUUUCUUGCAAACCUUUGCACAUGUUUACAGUUUGCAAUUUCUAUACUUUCCUGUAUUGUCUGUCCAUUGCCAGUCUAAAAUGAGCAGUGAAAUGGAAAAGUGAUUGUUGGGAAUGGUUAUUAGCUAUUUCUCGUAAUAGGAAACAGUACCAAAUAAAAUGAUUGUGCAACAGGCUGUAAAGAAACGAAACCCACUUUUUCACACAAUGCAUAAUUAAAUUGCAGAACUCAUUGCCACAGGAUGUUUCAGAUAUCGAAAGUAUGAAAUUCAAAAAGCAACAAAGUGAAUUGGAAUCAAAGGUCUCUAAAGGGCUAUUAAAUGAGAUGACGUAGAUGUAGGCUACAGCUCAGGAAGUCCUUAAACCACAAAUUACUUGAAAUGGAGCAGAUAUGGAGGAUUUCAUACUUGCCUCACUUUGGAUAUAUUUUCUCCUAAAUGCCCAUUACUGGCCAUUGCCAAUUACAGCAUUGUGAUAAAUGGGCCUUUGGCGUGACCAGGUUCAGUCUUCUGCCCAUGUUCUCAGGCUCAUGGAGAAGAGGAGCAGGAGGUUCUCAUUCGAGGUAGACACAAAUAUCUUUUUCAGGUAUGGAUAGUCAAAGUCCCCUCUCUUUUUAGGCCCAUCAGGUGCAAGUCUCCAGCUGCCAUGCAAGAAAGCACCGUGGGCUCUGCCAGUUCCUUUCAGCUCAACUUUCUGGGGAGAGAAUGUAAUGUACCGAGUUGGGAAAUGGCUGCCUCCUUGGGAUAAGUCUCCAGUAGGAGUGUGUGUGAUAGCAAAUGGAUAAAAUAGACGGUUGCUGAGAUCAUAACCAAAAGAGGAGGUGGCAGCCUGGCUAAAUUACUCAUUACCUCUGCUCUGAUGGCCAUUGUAUACCGAAGUCCUACAGGUCCCUCUUACCUUAGCACCACAUCUGUUGUCUACUGAAGGUUUCCUUGCCAAGAAAGGCUAACAACAGGCUGAGGAAAAAGAUGGGGAGAUAAUGUGACCCUCCCCUUCAGAAAUUUCAGUCAGAGGACUGAAGUGCAUUGGAUUUUUGGGGGAUUUUUCUUAGUUUUUAUGGCACAUGAGACAUUUUCUUUGGCAGUAGCUGUGAUGUAGAGUAACAAAGAUGGUAUUUGCUUUUAUUUUUAAGCAAAACCACAUCUCUCACUUGAAGAACCAGGUUAGGUGUAUCAUCCUCCUCCCAGUCUAUUUUAAAUUGACUUUAAGGAAAGUAACCGUGGGAAGCAAAAGACUUUCUCUGGUGUAAAUAGAUGUUAAGCUUCCCCCAUUGGAUGCAAAGCAAAACAGUUACAUUUUCAGCUUCCAGCUGCCAAGGACACCUAGGAGCAUUUUCCUACCACAGACAUUUUGCAGGCAAUGUGGAAAACAUGCCACAUGCCAAAGGCAUUAAAAGAAGGAGCCAAUCAUGAAUAAUUCAUUUGGAAUUCACUAUAAUGGCAUUAGUCAUAAUGAAACCUAAGCUGGUAUUAACAUGUGGGUAAUAGGUAGAGUACUUCCUGAGGAAUCAUUCUUAAUAAAGAGAGGGAGUAUUACGAAGAGCUUGGGAAAGAGAUCCUGUUUCUACCUUUAUGAUGCACCAGUCUAGGGAUAGCGGUGUCUGAUGGUCUCCAGGAAAAGAUACAAGUUAUGUUGGCUAUGAUCAGUUAUGAUGUCUUCAGGAUCUGAGUUUAAAAAGAAAUUGCUUACAGAAGGACUUUAUGGCAGCUGCUCAGAGCAGCAGUAGAUGUGCCAGUAGAAGUGUUGGUUCAAAUGAAUAAGCAAUCUGAUCGUAUUUCUGUUCCCUUCUUGUUCUUCUUCCAACCAGCUUCCGUGCAAACGAGGUGUUUUUGCAUUUGUUUCACAGCUGCUGGGGGAACAGGAGGAUGUGUUGUUGCAUGAGGAGAGAAGAGGGUUGGUGGUUUGGUUUGGCCUUUGUCCUGGUGGUCUGCAGGAGGGCAGAGCCUGGCGUCCCCAAACCAAAGGGAGGUGAGGCACUGCUCUGGCAUGCAGUUGUUCACCAUGGGAGUGACUCACUGGGAGAGGAGAAACCUGUACUGUACAGCUUUGGUAGCGAGGUGAUCUGGAAUUAGUCAAGCCUCUAAAGAUGUGCUUAUGCUCUGCUGAAAGCCCACGAUGGUCAGCUUUGGGUUUUUCUCUGGAUUUUGAAAGAGAAUUAAGUGUGUGUUUGGAGUUCAGUGCUCUUGAAACUGGGACUGUAUAAGGACUAGUGAAAGGCAGAAUAAAGGUAAAUGGUUCUUAGUUGUAAAUUUGUGAUUGGAGUAAAUCCACAGAACAAGGUACGAAUGAUUCAGAAACAGGCAUAAGGGCUAAAACCAUUCAUGCUAUAUAAUUUGCUUUACUUUAGCCAAGGCUGUUCUAAAUCUCAGCUUUGCCCAGCCAUGCUAGACCAACAACAGCUCUUAUUGUACUGUAAGCCUCUCUUAGUGAACUCUUCAUCAUCACUUCAGUAAUCCCUGCUGUAACCUCUUAUACAGUGACCACAGAGCACUUGCUGAAGGUGCUCUGAGCUGAGAAAGCAGUCUGCUCAGCUAAUGAAGAUCUCACAAUGUAUGAUGAUAAGACCUUUGCCUUAUGAGGUGUAACUAAUUAAUGCAACCAGUAAAAUCAACAUAAAAGUUAACAAUAGUUAUUUAGUACAGUUGAGCCCUGCGAGGUGUGCAGUUGCUGUAUCACACGUUUUUCUCAGAUGUGCCAGCACAGCUCAGUGGGCAAGGCCAGGAGGAUGCCACACCAGUAUGUUGGAAUCUUCUCUGCUACAUGGUAUUGUUUGUGCACCAAGCAGCACUGCUCUAUUACUCCAGUGUAAAAUCUUGUAAAAAUAAAGGAAGGGAAAAAGGCUAUUAUUCUUCUUUCCUUUAUUUUCUGACACCAGAACUACAGGCGUGGAAAAAAAAAAAACAACCAAAAUGUUUGACAUUUACCAUUCAUAAAUUCUGCAGAAAUAAAUACCCAGGCUCUGAAGCUGUAGGAGUGAAAGAAUGCAAAGUUCAUCACCUGCUGACAGUUGUCUUGAAAAGAGAGCAUCAGAGACAAAUCCUGCUGGGUUAGGACUGAGUGUCCAAGACAAGCAUCAGGUUCCAGAUCUUUUACAGCAUGAAUAAGAUAGGUCUUCUGUUGUGAGCCUGCAGAGAUGCCAGGACCUGCACAUGUCUGGACACAAAAGGGACAAAGCCUUUUUCCCCUCCUUUAAGAUUAUGACUCAGCUGUGCUUGGAAAGGACCUUGCAGUCAUCACAAGGCUGCCCCUCAACCCAGACUGUUCCAGUCAUACCCAAGGGCCAUCAGCAUGGAGAUAAAGCAGAUUUUAUUGUUUUGGUGUUUUGGUUUAUUUUUCUUUUCUCAUCCAGAAGAUGAUCCUAGAUGGUACCUGCUAGGAGACUACUCCUGCUGCUAGUAGAGGAAGAACUCUCCAAGAAGAUAAUUCAGAGAUCUCAGAUCCCUGCUCUAAAUUGCACGUGGAUGAGUUUAUCCCUAUUUAUUAAGCAACCUAGAGAGACAAGUCUCUUUGAGCCACAGUUUUAGGUCUUUAAUGAUGUAUCCUGAUUGACAUCAAGAAAUGUGACAUCCUGUUCACAGCAGGAAAUGGGAUUUGAUCAGAAUUAACGUUCUGGGUGGAUUUCCCUGUGUUGAUGAGACUGUGUGUGUGCAAGGGACACCUAGACCUCAUACUUAGGAACUUCCUGCACCAGCAGUAUCAGUGCUCAAGGUUGGCUGCUGACUGCAUCUUCAAGAAUGCAGAAUUUUCCAAGGGGAGCAGCAGAAAAUAGGUGUAUGUUUUUAUCCCAAGCGUUGGCCUCUGAGACAUGUCAGGCAAACACAGAUGCAUCGGGGAAUUCUAGUUUGGGUUUCUGUGAAGUACAGAAUAAUUGCCUCUGUUUUAUCUUCCUCAUCUUCGCUGUUAACAAUACAGCCUUGCCUCUGGGGAUUAAAACUCAUCAGUGUCAGUAAAUCCAGGUAAUUCUGAUAAUGUUAAACUCCUGUUUUUCUUUGCAUUGUCAGUUAUGGUAUGAUCUUUUACUGAUGGUCACGUUAUACAGGCAAGAUGUGCUUUGGACAAAGUACAAACCUGGGUGGGGUUUGUUAUGGAGUAAGGGCAAAUGAGGAUUUGGAUUUCCUUUCUUUUAAAUGCAGAAUCUUUCCUUCCAUUCCCACGGGAAUCUCUUCGAACUUUCUCCCUGCUACGUUCACUUUGCUUAGCUCAGAUUGGACUAAAACGUUGAGAUCAUUACUUACCCAAGUAAUUCAGACCUACUACUGACUACAAGAAUCAUACGUAGCUGUAAACAUCUUCAAUUCAAAUAACUUUAAACAAAGUAAUUAGUGGUUGAACUAACUGAGCUUCACAGCAACUUUCUAAAAAGAGUUGGCUUUCCCAAUUUUACAGAUGUUAAUUUGUGGCGUGCAGAUGAUAUGAUUUACUGAUGGUGACACAGUGAAUGUGCAUUAGAGCCAGAAAAUUGUUCCAAGACUCUGAUGAGGACAUGAGCAAGCUGUCUCAACAGAGAAAUAUUUGCACCAAAAAUAGAGCUCAGCCAAACAUUAUUUUGGUGUGGGUGGGAAAUCGUGUUUCAUUGCAGUUGUUGCUUAUAGGAAAACUAAGAAAAAACAACCCGUACCAUUGUUGUAAAGGCAAAUUUUAAGUUUUGAGAACACUUAUGUUAAUGAUUUCCCAUUUAUUCCAGUGAUUUUCACCAGUGAUUGUGUUAGGAUGAGUUUAACUUCGAACACUGCAAUCUUAUUUCCUUUCUUUCAGUCCAGUAAUUUCCAGAGACUGCAUUUUUUUGUUUCUUUUUCUAAAUUGCUGCAUGCAUUCCUCUGUGUACUUCAAGAGCUCCAGUAGGUGUCUGUGAUGGGUACUGGAAAGGUGUUUUUUUUGUUGUGUUUAAUUACUUUGAAUGCAAUGUGGUGUCUGAAGAAACAAUGUGAUAUUCAUUUAAGACUAGAUAAUGCUGAAUCCCUUUGAAUCUGUGAAAAUGGCAAAAACAACUCAUGUUGUGUGUAGCCUGUUUCCUUCACAUUGGUGGUACUUGGGCUGUCUCCUGUUCCCAUCUUAUGGUGUGCUAAACUUACGGCUUCUGCUCUGCUUGGUAUUGAAGAUCGGAAUUUUGUGGUAAGGAAAUAAUUAUGGGUUGGCUGUUUGGAUUUACUCAACAUGUCAUAGAUGGGCUUCCUUGCUGUCCUGGGGAAUUGUCCUAGAUGACCCAACUUGUCUCCAUCCUCAACUUUCAAGAUACUGUCCCCCUGUGCUGUUCAACACACCAAGUAAUAAUUCUGAGUUUUCAUUUAAAUUCCUACAAAUAUCCCUUCUUUAGGAUGGCCACUUUGUUAGUAAAGAAUGUGGCAAAUCAUUCAGGCAAUAUCUAGAAAUUAGGAAGCAGCAUUCAGGAGAUUCACUCAGUUAAAAUGGAGCAAUUUCUAUUCGUGGAGUGUUACUUUUUCUACAACUUAAUCUCUUAAAAGAUGCAUUUUACUUUGAGUUGUGUAUGUUGCAGCUGAUGACCUGUAGAUUUUUUUUUGUUCAAUGGCAUAUGUUAAGGAGCUGUGCUUUGUAACACAGAAUGAAGUACAAAAAUGUAUAUGUCAUUUUAUUUAUACAUCUGCUUUGGAAAUCCUCGUUUUAUUUAUCCAUAUCCUAAGAAAAAUGACACUUUCAGUGCUGCCAGCUAAGAACUGUUGGAUUCUUGUAGUGAGAUUUGAAGGAAAGUAUUAAAUUAUGUAGACACUUUGCUGAGUUCUAAUAGAACUAAUGGUGCAAAUUCCCUCAAUUUGCAUGAGCAUGAUUAAUUUUUCAGUUAAUGAUCCUGUUUGUUAUGCUUAUAGAUUCCACAUGUGUUUCGUGUAUAGCACACAAGCAAACAAAACAUACAUAUGGGAGUGCUGCAAAAGCGUACGUAUAUAUGCAGUAUGUUAAAGGCCUGUCUGCAUGCCUGCCUUUGAAUGGAAUUCCUAGAAAUGAGCUUCAUUGGUAAUAUCCUGAGAAAAAGCAAGGUAUCUGUUGAGGCAGGCUCUAAGCUGAUGUAGUCCGAGCUAACUUGUCAACUGCAAGGCAGAACAGUAACAUUACAAAGUUCAGAAGCCAUCUUAGGAACCGAUAACCAUGUGGCAAAACUGCAUUCAUUUGGAAUAUUACCAGAAACAGAGAAAAGUGUGUAAGCAUAAUCAAGUAUUUCCUCUGCUGUGUAUUGUAGGUUUAAUGGACCACACAAGAUUUUACCAGAAAAGCCUAUUUCACAAAUGUUUUAAAGCCACAAAUGCCUGGUGAUGACAUAGCCAUAAAAUACAGCUUUUUAAAAUCUUCCAUCAAGAGGAUAGGUUCUCUGAUGCAUUAUAUCAGCAGCAUUGAUUUAAACAACGAAGAAUUGAUGAUAAAAUUGGAUUCCAAAUUGAGCUCUGAGUAAAUCCAGAUCUGUGCUCAAACCUUGGUUGAGCUGAGAGAUCUGGGCUGUGUUUGGUUUGGGAAACAGAACCUCUGGCUCUUCGGUGAGGUCUGCUGCCACUGUUACGAGGCACUGUUUACAUAAAAUUAAAUUAAAAUUAAUCCAGACAGGGUUUAUGAGAAAUCAAAUUUGACUUUGGUGGGUACGGGAUAUAGGUAUCCUGCCAACACUUAACCAUCUUUUGUAACACGAGUAAGUGUUUGUAACACUUUGAUGUGUAUUUAAUUUAAAUUUAGGAAAACAUGUUUCUGUAUCAGUAAAAACGACAGAUUGAAAACUUUACAUCUUUCCCAGCUGUGGAUACCUUCGCAGUGUUAGCUGUGAUAGGCUGCAAAGAGGGAAGACAGAGGGUAGAGAUGGAAGGAUAAAACCAUGGUGUGCCGGUAGCGUGUUGCCUCCCAGAGCCAUGGGCUGUCUUGGGGGAGGUGAAAUUCCACCCAAACCACUGGAGUUUCCUGGCUUCCACUUCUUAGACCACGACAUGUGCUUUUGUUGCACAAGCAGCCUGACUUUGGAUCCGGUUCAUGCGCUUGUUAUGAAGGAGCUUUCUCAAAUGUGAAGUUGUCAGUGUGAUUCUCAGGUUCCUCCUGGGCUACGAGCUCCUCCCAUAACCUGCCAUCCCAGUGCAGUUUUAGACGCAGAUUGCUUUGCAUGUGACAGCUGGCUGCAGCAAAACUGCUUGGUGUGACAUUUUGCUGCAUGAAUCAAGUCUCUUAACGUUUGGCAGACGGUGUUUGGUCACAGCUAUGUUUGUUGUUCAACUUUCCACUACAUUUAAAACGCCUUCUUUCUCUUUGGGCUAGCAUAUUCCCAUCUGCUCUUUGUGUGCUUGCAUGCAAAGAGAAAAGGCACAAGUCCAUCAUCCUUUACCUAAUCUGGUUUGUAAGUAUAGCUACCAUCUGACGCUUUGGGUGGGAAACUUGUGCUUCCAACAAGGCACAAGUUGCCUAUCUUGGUACUGAAGAGAAGCCCAGAGGCCCCAGGAAUGAGAUCUGUGGUAUGGUAUAACCUGUCCCUCCUGUCUAGGAAGCAGGCAAACCCAGAGGACCUUCUGGUCUUCUGUGCAGCUCCAGGUGUGUUGUUGCCUGUUCGGCAUGCAUAGUACUUUGGUAGCAAUACAAGGCUCUGCAAGUGGUGAAAGGCAGGAAUUCAUUCCUGACCCCAUGAGUCACCCUCCUAUGUCAUGGAGCAUGCAGUUUCAUCACCCUUGCCAUUAUUUUACCUUUCAGCUGAGUAGUUACAGGUACCAUUAAUCUAUAAAAUAGAUGUAGGCAGACAGGAGGACGUCAUGUAAAGUCUGCAGAGACACAAAACCAACACAUAAAAAAAAAAAAGAAAAAAAGAAGGAAAAAAAAAAGAGGCCAGCUAGAAAACAUGACCCCAGCUUUUUACUGCUGUGUAUUCCAGGGAUAUUAUUUAUUGUUGGCAUGUACCCAUGUCACACUGGUACUCAGGACAAAGUAAAAGUCACGGUAGUCACUCGGGCCCUUGCUUCUGUCAUUGUAUUUUCAGAUAUUUCAAGGAAUGAGGUAAUGACUUUAAGAUCAAGGUCAUUUUCAGCUGCAUCAAUUAUAUCACUUUCCCCUGGCAAAAGCAUCUGCAUACCUCCGCACAAUGUUAACUACUAGGCAAACGUUUCGCUGGAAAACCUGACUCUUCUCUGCCAUAGGGAAUGCCUGGUUCAUACAUUAAGUGGGUUUAAUCGUUUAAACUUCUACUAUGUAACUUGGAAACCGGUACACAGCAAUGCUGCCUGUUAGCAAUUUAAUUCAUUUAAAACAAAUUCAAGUGGGUUCUGAUGUCCUUAGUCACUGCUACACAAAGGAGAGACCCCAUAUUUCAAAUAACCAGGCUUCAACACAGAGAUGACGUUAGUGGUGGGUAAUAAGCUGAGCUAUCUAUCAAGAUAUCAAGUAUGAAACAGAUGGUGAGAAAAAAAAAGGUCCAGAUACAUUUACAAGCCUCUUAACAUGCUCACCCAGUUAACUCACCACAAGGUCACAACUUGAUGUCUUAGACAUGCAAUCUCCUCUUCAGCUAGAAAUGAAAGCAGGGCUUUAAAAAAAAAAAUAGUGCUGUCUGUGGGGAUUAGCUGGUAUCUCUAGAAAGGGAAAAUGGUCCAUUGUCAAACCUUGGAGUUCUCUGCUUCUAGUGCUGGUUCUUGGGUAUGUGAUUUGUAUACCUGCACGUAUUGAUUGCUCCAGUGGGUUCACUGUGAUGGAAGUCAUUUGCUGUAAUGAUCUACCUGUGAAAAAUUCAUUCCCUUCCUUCAGGACAAUUAUUCUGGGGAUAUUUUUUGUUUACCUCUUCUGUUUUUGCAUUCAUAAAGAUUUGGGAUUAAUCAGUCAAAUCUUCCUAUACCCAAAUCUGUUAAAGCACUGUACCUCAGCCAUGUGUGUGAAUGCUUGCCAGCUGGCCAUGAAGGCCAUUCCUUUCUAAUUCAUGGAGUCGCACCAUAUUCGUGAAUUCUCACUCAGUGGAACUCGACUAUGCUCAUACUUUCUUACAGCAUAGAUUAAAAUGUUAAAGAACCUCUAGUAAAAGUUACACUUUUAGUUAAAGCCUUCAUUCUAGUAGCUGGGGAAUUGAUGUCAGAUGGAAAAUGAUUUCCCAAUGGUUUGGUUUUGUAGCAAAAGUCUUCAACUUUUAUGUAGAUAGUCUUUGAAGUUAGAAAUUGUUGUUAGACUAUCAAAUAUUGUUUGAGGUGUCACUCAUUUUUUUUUUCCCCUUUCUAUUAUGGGAAUGGGAUCUUAGCAAAGAAUUAUUGUGGUAAAAAAUGAAUGUAUGACUGACACUGGAAAGAAAGGUGUUUACGGGGCACAUAUAUGGGGAAUUGUUGUGGAACCUAGACCUGUCAAUAUAAUCCCUGUUAAUUCUCUUAAGUGUCUGAUUUCUCUCUGCUAGAAGUCAGGGUUAAAUCUCCAAAAACACAAUACUUGAGUAUGUCAUUCACUAUGUGGAAUAUUUUAUAAAAUAUCUUUUUGCUUGUGUAAUUUCAUGUUGCUGGUUUAUCUGAGCAACACCCGUAGUUUGAAAUGGGGCUGUGACUGCCUUUUGGGCUGCAGUUGGCUCAACCUGCCUAGAAAAACACAUUUCCUUUCCCUGUUUCCUGGAUGGUUUUGCCAUACACAGAAGCUGGCCUUCCACCUCCAGUUCCCUGGCCCUGCAUGACUCUUCCACCGCUGUGUUCCUAGGAGGAGGAACUGAGCAUGAAUUGGACCGAUAGGUGGCACACAGAGAGCUCUUAAGUAGGCUAAAACAAUUGAAACAAAGAGAAAAUGGAAAUAAUAAGAUUCCAGUACCACAAAAAAAAAAAAAAAGAUUCUGCUUCUGGGUUAGGUUUUUCUUUCUCUUUUUCUUUCUUUUUUUUUAUUUAUUUCCCCCUCUCAUUCUCUAGCUUUUUAUUUUUUCUUUUGAAACUUCAGUGAAAUCUGGUUAUCCAGACAGGUCAUUAACUUUGUUCUGCCUGUCCAAAAGUGAGUAUAUGUCUUCUCUGCAAAUAGCUACGUGAUACAGCCAGUGCCUUCAGUACUGUUUGUCUUGUGCAUUGCUUUAGCAUCUUGAGACAGAUACUCAAAUCUUACUGUGCAAGGAGCUGUGGAAACAUACACAGCAAAAUACUUUUGUCCUAAAAGAGCUCACCAGCAAAGUAUGAUGUGAAAAGUCGAAUGGUACAGGCAGGAGGAGGAGUACAAGCGAAAACAAUGGAACAGCAGUAGGCAGCACGAUAGGCGUCAAAAGUAUUUGGAUUAAACAACAACAAAACCUCUUAGAACUGAGUUGUAGAGAAGCCUGAGUCAGCUUGUUGCAGAAAAUUUGAAGGCUUCGCAAGCUUCUGUUGGUAAUGUCCAGUUGCCCCGAAAUCCUGCAGAGAACACUGGCUUGGGUUUUUACCAGUGUAAAUGUUCCUGUGUAGAAUGUUCCAGAUCCCCAGCCUUCCGAAGUGGAGCCGGAGCUUAAAGCAGUGCCACCAGGAACAGAGGCUGUGAUGAUCUUUCCUCUGGCUCCUGUUGAAGUUGGAUGCUAGUAGGAAUGCGUAAACCAUAUCAAGGUGAUAAGAGGCUAAAUUUGGACAAGCCAAGUAAUGAACAGUGCAGUGUAUAGAGGUUAGACUAAAUACUAAAGAAAACCUGUGUUCUGGCAGUACCACCCUUAAGGAACCUGCAGCACAAAUCUUCAGGAGCGCGGCAGAAGUUUACAUGCCAUCCUCCGUAAGCCUCCUUGGGAAGAAGUGCAGUCAGGCUCUGUGUAUUUUCAUAUCUCUAAAAGCACAGGAGACAGUCAAUAAAAAGGGGAUGGCUGUCUUGAGAUUACUCCCCCUCCUCUACGUUCUGAAGGCGACAGAAUGGAGUGGAUAGCGAGCAACCUGCUUGCCUUGGGUGCAGAUGGCUUUAAUUGUCAUUCCCAGAUGUUCUGCCUCUUGAAGGUCAAAUUCACCUUGUAUAAAUCGGGUUGGAACCAUCCAGAGAAAGCACAGACAUUUUACUUAGGGAAAAAAAGAUGUAAUAAAAGAAUGUCCUUCUUUCUUGUUCUUUUUUUUUUUUUUCCUUGUAAAUAUAAAGGGAACAGAUUGAGAGGGAGGCCUGGCUGGCACAGGUCAUAGUAAUGUGAUACAGAAGCUUUUGUCUGGAAGAUGCAAGUUUAAAUCCAGCUCUAUCUGACUGCGGUUAAAAUAUUGUUAUUUUUUUGACUGAUGGAGCUCAGCUGUGGGUGUUAGUCCAGAUUCAGGACUCUUUCUGCCUUUAUUUGGCAGCAUCACUUCUUAAACAUGGCAAUAUUAAAGCCAAGCUCAAAAAAGAACUGCUAGAUGAAGCAUUGGUUGGAUCAGGAGAAGAUCCAUGUCACUGAGGCCAGAUGUGCAAGAAGAACGAUGAUGCUUUUACCUUGUCUCUGCUUGUUUUGUAGUGCUGGAGGUCACUUUGGUCUCCAAACUGGUCGUGUUGUGCAUCUCCUCUGAGCAGGAGACCUGUGUUUGUGUUAGCAUUAAAAGAAGUCAGGCUUCUGCCAGUCUUGCACAGGCUUCACUACUUGAUCAAAAAUUGUCCUCCCUAUAUACUGAAUUACGUUAACUCUUCAUGUGCUCUCCUCUGAAGCCAUCAAGUUUAGUGCCAGUUUUAAGGAAGCAGUUCUGCAAAGUCUGCCUUGUGAUUGUUCCCUUUUGGUGCAGGUGGUGGUUCUAACGAUGGUGCAACUCCUCAGCUGGCUAAAGCUUUGUGGUGUUUUACAUUUUCAAUAGAUUUUUUUUUUUAAGUGUGGAUGAUGUCUUCCGUGCUCCCUUCAUGACUUCAGUGAUUUCAAAAAGCAUCUGUUUUAAAUAUCGUCAAACACAUCAAGUUUUGUUAACUAUAACAAUAAAUUCAUGAAAUGCUUAGACUACAGGGAACAUGAGUCACAUGGGCUAUCAGGCAGUUCCUCUGCUGUAUCACUACAUCAUGUAACCUAUUCACAAAAGAACAUCAGGCUCCAUCCUGAAACUGGUUUGGCCGUUCAUUUCCCCUUCCUGUCCUGCUCCCAUUGGAAGUCUGGUCCAUCACCACCAGCUCACUCCACAGAUUGGAAAGGUUUUCCUUCUGUCCAGUGUAAUUUCUUAGCAGCCAGACAUAUAUUCGCUUGUUUUUAUGUCAAUAAUGCACAGUUUAUGUUUUCUAAGUGUACAAUAAUUAGCUGGAAACAUACUGUUAUGUCAGGCAUCACCAGAUGGGGCUUUUACACACAGUCUGCAAAGCUUUUUUUUUUUAAGCACACAUGCAGGCUUUGACUCCAGGGAAAGCACAGUGCAGAGUUGUUUUUGGUUAUUUAGGUGUCUGUAAUCAAAACCACUGAGUGAGCAUUAAGAUGUUUUUCUUGAGCUAGGAUUAGAUUCGGUUACUGAGACAGGACCCAAACUUCAGACGUCCAUGUCCUCGGAUGUCUCAAACACACCAUGGAGCGAAAGGCAGCCAGAGCUACCAGAUAGCUGUGAAAAUCUCAGACAGAACCUGUGUUCUUCCAGGAUUGUGUUGUGUUCCCAUAGCUUCUUACUGCAGAUAAAAAAGCAAUGAGUCUUUUCAGGUUGCAGCCUUUGCCUUGGAUGAUUUCUUUGGGCAAUUUUGGGAGAAAGGAAUAAAAAUUAUACCUGUGACAAAUGUGUACUUUAGUGCAGAAACAGCUAGAAAUUCUAAAGGUGAUUAAUUAAAGGAAAAUUAGGUGCCAUUAAGCAACUGUUCAGGAUAAUUUUAUACUAGAAAACGUACAGAUUCAAACACAGCACUUUGUAAAUAUAAGCCAUGAGAUGAAUAGAAAAUAUUUCCACCUGACAUUUCUUCCCUUUUUUUCUUGUGAGCUGGAAUUUUGGCUCUAUGAUCUCAGAAGUUCUGAAAUCCCAAAUACCUUUGAUUCAUAUUCCCAUAUUUUAUGCUGCAAGCAGAGAGCCUUGGAAUGAGACAUUUGAUGCGUAAUUGGAGACAUUGAGAAGAUGUGUAAAAAAAUGUUGUUCACGCUAGGGCCUGUACCAUCGGUUGUGUUCUGGGCUGGAGCAAUUAUUGUGUGCAGCGUAUACAGAUCGUCAAUGACAGAGUGCUUCCUGAAGCCUGAACUCAGGAACAGGAGAUAAGCAUGAAAAGCAAUAGAGGUAAAUGCUAGAGAUCUGGAGGGGAUACGAAUCCCCAGAAAACGAGGCCUUAUGCAAUGCAGUGAACAUACAGACAACUGCAUGGGACCGAGAUCUGAAUUUGGAAACACCUUUGAAUGUCUCACAACUAAGAAAGUUGUAUUUUAUUGGUUAGAUGCUUGUAGCCUGUUUCACCUUUGGCCUAUUGAUUGUGUUGGUGAAGAAUGUUUGUGUGGGUUGUUUGCCCACAGUUCAGUUAUCAUUGAGGGUCUAUGACACGUGGAGCAGUGGGUGCUGAUAUGUGGGGUCAGUGUGGAUGUGCUCUGGGUUGGAGAUUUAGGGGGAAGAAAACACAAAGAAAAAAUAAAAAACCAACCGUACACUGGCUUUGCUGAUCUUUUAUGCAUUUGUGAGUUGUGUAAUGCUUGGGGUAGAAGGUCUUAUACCCAUUUGCUCUCAGAAGACACAAUACUCACCAUGGAUUACAGAAUUCUUAAAACCUAAGUUCAGUUUUUUUCUGAUCUUUAACCCAUGUCUGGCCAUCUGUGGUCUCUUAGCCUUUACCUGGACUGAUGUCGAGAGUGGAUAUGUCAUCACAUAUGGUAACACAGGAGUGGCAUGAUCUGUGUAAAUUGGACUUGAGCAGUCAGUGGGUGCGCCUCUACUGUGUUCACUACACCCCUCAGAUCUCAUCUAACUUUGCAGAGUUGUGAAGAGAACAGGUUUAUUCCCAAUGCUGCUCUGAAAUGUUAAGAUCAUUGCGAUCUCUUAUUGCUUUUAAUGUGUAUUUUAAAACUGCACUGGAAAUGAAUUUGCGACCUUGGAAAUGUGGUCUUUUUUUUUAAUUCUCUUAGACUGGUACCAAACAUUGAUUGUCAAGAUCAGUUGUUUGCCUAUUUUGCAUGGUUCCCAGAGCAGGUUAGCAAUAGUCCCUAAAUUCCCCCAAAUCUGAGCACAAUAACAGUGAAGCCACCAUGUGGAUGUUUUAAACAAGUAAGGCAGAAAAGCUGGGAUAGAAGGAGCUAAUAAGUACACAGCAAAACUGUUCUGCUCUGCGGUGUGUUUGAGGGGGGGAAAAAAAAGACAUAAAAAAUAAAAAAUAAAAAAAAUCCCAGAAGAAACAGAUGUAUCUGCCAGAAGUUAAAUACACAUCUGUUAAGGAUGCUCUUCUCAUAUUUGGGGUCAGAAAAAUAUGUACAAAUGUAGCACCUUGCUGAUUGACAGAAAAUCCUCAGUUCUGGCACCGAGAAUCUUGUUUUCUUGACAGCACUUUGUUUUAAGGCUAGAGGCAGAAAAAUGUCUUAUGCUUGUCCUUAAACUGGAAGGCCCUUUGUUCAGGAUACUUAUACCAUUUGCAGAUAAUGAUGUGCAUUGCAGUUUCAGCUGUCUGCAUAUGCAUUUUUAUGUUUUUUUAUGACAGCUCUGCGUACUGAACUAAAAGGCCAUUUAGAGCUGUCAGGAAGUGACAAGCAUUACCCUUUACAUUUACAAUUCUGUUAGCAUGCGUUGUCAGGUGGGCUCACCAUUCCACCGACAUAUGAUUUUCUUUGAAACCUAUGUAUGACUUUAAUUUAAUACAGCAGUCUCCAAAAAAAUAAAAAAAAAAGAGAAAAAGAAGAAAAGAACCUUAUUAAGAUUUCUUUUUCCAUUUAUCUUUUUUUCUUUCAUGUGGUUCUUUUUUCCACUCUUUUUCUUUACUGUUUUCUUAAGCAAGAAACAGCAAAAGAGACAAAAGUAGCUGUCUAGGCUAGAAUACAGCAGCAAGCUCUUCCAUUCCAGCCUGUGAUGUUAUACAGAAAAGAGUUGAUUUUUAGUCCAUUGACUUAUGGAAAAAAAAAAAUGCUACCAGCAUAUGCUAAAUAUUGAACCAACUCCUGAAAAUGGAAAUAUCAGAAUACCUGUGGGUUACAAGCAUGACAUGAACUACAAUAUAUGUAUACGUUUUUCUUUUAGCUGGCAAUUUAGCAAUCUAGCUGAAACCAGUUUCCAUCCCCAUGGGUCAAUUCUGAAUGCAGUUACUCCUGUUGAGCUGUCCCUGAGUGUUCCCUCUGUUGGUUCAACUUAUGUUCUACUAGAUGCUCUGUUGCUAAUCUUCAGAAGUCCCGUUUAGUUUCCAAAUUGUUGCACAACGGUUCCAAAGUCCGACAGUAGUGUUUCAAGCAGAAGCUGGUUUAUUGACUGCAGUAACAAGGUUCCAUCUGAGAAGUCGUCCCACUCUUGAAUGCACUGACCAUCAGAACUGAGCACAUAGUCCAAGUAGAUGCACACUCAAAGCAAGGGAGGGAAAUGGAGACUCUGAGCUGUGAGGAAAGUUCAUCUUUACUCUCAGCUGGAGAGAAAAUGGUUAGGGUUAUCCUAGUGACAAUCAAAGCAACAACCUCUAUGUGAACAGAUUUUUGGCUGUGUUUUUUAUAUGGUGAUGAUACGGAUAUAUUAUUUAACUGCUGACAGUAUGUUCAGUCUCUCGCGGAGCCCAGCAGAAGAUGCAUCUCCAAAGAGCUCAUAGUCUGGGCAUCAGGGACUGGUCUGAUCCCCCUCCCUGGGUUGUGCAGAUUGUGACUGUAUUUGAGGAUGAAUCUUGAUUGACUCACCCCGCUUCAGAUAGAGUCAUUGGUGCUGUGUGGUUGGAAGGACUGGGUAAUAUUAAAAAUAACACAAACGUUUUUUCCUGGUAGGAUUUCAAUUUGCCUGUUACAUUUGUCCCAAAUUAUUAUUUUUUAAUUGCCAGCUUGAAUGGCAGAGUCAUUAGCUCAGCAAAUCUGUUUGUUAUUGGUAGGUAGUGUGGAGAGAUCUGUAUGGAUGGUUUUGUAGUUCAAGAAGGCAUCAUAAUAAUUAAGGAUCAGAGCACAGCGUGCUUUGGAGUAAAAUAACAUGUGGCUAAAUGCUGAGGCAACUUUGACACUGAAUUCCUUUCCUGUCAGUGCAUAAAGGCAAACCCUAAACAUUAUUUUUAAACAGCUGUUUUUAUGCAUACUUGCUGACACAUCUGAAUCCUUGUUUCUGUACUUCCUAAGCUCUUCAUCUGUCUUGAAUAUAUGCUACAGACAUUUUGCAUACCCGGGCAGACACAGACUCAUCGGGGUCAUCUCUGCCUGCAAGCUACCCUUCCUUUCAGCUGGGAACCUCCACUUUACAAUACCCAAAGGAAUUUUUUUUCCUCUUGAAGUUUGUGAGAGUGCACGUUCAUCUGGGGAAUCUGAGUAGGUGACUUGAUUGUGAUUCACCUUAAGUCAGUGAUAGUAUCUUGGCUUCAGUGGAAGAAAGCCAGAUCGUUCAUGUCUGAAGAAUGAAAACAGAAAAAAGUAUUCAAUAACUUGAUUGAGAUUGAGAUUGGCAAUCUAAUGUACCAGAAGAAAUGCCCCAAAGGGGUUCAUAUAGGGAGUGAUGAUAAUAAGUAUUUUAUAGUACAUCGUGAAGGGAUUGUGGUCUGAAUGUUUGUGACCCCAGCUCAGAGCCAUUGUGAAACUCCCAUCAGUCUGCACUGAGAUCCCCACAAGCUCUCCAUUGAAAGCUUCCAGCACAGGACUCCUAACUUGGACCCUCCUUGCAAGAAGAGGCAAGAACUCCUUGCACCAUCUUCCCCUGCUCGUGCCUGGGCUGGCACCUGCUGUCCUUAAGGAAAGGGGGAAAAUUCCUGCGUCUUCAUUUCUUCUUCUCCUUUGUCACUAACAUUUAGCCCUAACCUGUAAUACUCUGCAGGGACCAAUUACAUUAUCCCAAGAUAGGCCUUUUCCAUUAACUGUCUUUACAAGUUUUUCUUACUCUCUUCGUCAACAUUCCGACUUCAUAUGAAAUUUAAGGUUAUUCAAGGUAAAGACAUAGAAGCUGAAUGUGCAUGUAAUCCCAUGUCUGCAGAUAAAUGUGUAAAUUAUAGACAAAUAUUUGCCUCUGCGAGGCAGCCUUUGAAUAUGGACCAGAUUCUGUCUUUGCAGAUGUCCAUUCCUCAAGGCCACAAAGAAUUUAGCAGUGCUUUUCUAUGUCCUCUAUUUUCUUAUCCAUUUUCAUGCAGAUAAUUCAUAAAGUUACAUUUAUUUAUGUUAUUUUCAAGAGAUACUUAGCUAGUUUAGUCCUUGCCAAAGUCCAGAAGUCAUUAAACUUUCUUUUUAUUCGCUGUAUUUUACUAUGGAGACUGGAAGUUCGAUAUUAGAUCUUCCUCCACUCACAGUUCUCUAAAAUUACAGAAGUGUGACCUCAAGGCAUGUUUUCAGAAGUGCUCUACUGCCAUCCUUCCCUCCUCGUAGAUGUCUGAGCUGCAGAAUAACUUUGCUAAUAGUCUGAAACUUUUAUUUCUGAGAAGCAGUUUGGAGUCAAAGCAUUCCCCAGUACUUGCUUAGAUGUUUUAAUAAGAUCUUGAAGAUGUGAGCUACUACCAUGCAUUGGGUUACGGAGAAGCACAAGAGGUGCUAUGCAGCUCACUCUGCAAGGAAAGGCAAGGGAGGAUGGCAAGAAUAGCCUUAGCUUGAGAAUCCUCCUAAAGCUGUUGUCAGGCAGGCUAACCAACUUCUAACUCCACACGGUUCAACUUGAUGAGGAUAUCUUUGAAGCAGGAGCAAGACUGAAAUAAUUUCAUGCAAGUUCAGUAAAAGCCGAAGUAUUGCUGAGCCACCAAAGAGGUUGGUUAAGGUUUUCUUUGAGCCCUCUGCGGCAGCAUAAUUUAGUUGUUCCAUUUUAAGAUCUUUUCUCUUGGAGACACCAGUUGACUUGUAUGAAGUGUGAGGGAUUUCUUGCUGCAAACCUGAAUUAUUCAUGGCAUCUCUAUGGGAUCAUAGAGUUGCUGUGGUGGAUCAGAUGGCUUGUCCAUCUAGUUCAGUACCCUGUCUGUUGUGGUGAAGAGUAUAAGACAAGACAUUUCAGAGGAGGAUCCAAGAAACCUCUGGCACAGCAGCCAUGGAAUGACCUGCCCAUGGGGAAAGCUCUUCCUCCUUACCUUCCCCUUAGGCAGCUGGUGGGUUGGAUAUGCCCUGCAGCAUGAUGGUUUACAUCACGUAUUCUGAUUUAAUCCCAUUAUUUUUAUUUGUUAUUUGGAUUGCAGAAGCUCCUAGAGGAAGUCACCUGGGUCAGGUCCCCUGAUUGUAAGAUCUGUACAAACACAGAGAAAAUGACAGUCGCUGCAUAAUGUCACUGUCUCAUUAUCCACAUCAUCAUCUUUAUUUAUUCAUCAUUUAAGCUUCCUCUAGAGUUACUUCAGCAGUUCAGAUAAAUUCAUUUUGCUCUUUCUCUAAGACUCCUUAAGUCCUGGAGUAGUUGGUUAAUCCUCCUGAUUAUAGACUUCCCGCAUGUCCUGCAGUCAUUCAGCUUUGCACUUAGUUUUGUUGCUGAGUUUGGUUUCUGCAGUCCCUUUUUCUCAAAACCUAUUACCCUGCUGUAAUACUAUUGAUUGCCAUGUUAAUGCUACCACCCAGUAAA